UGCAGUAUAGGGACACUAGGGUGAGGGUGCGGAUGGUUGUUAGAGAAUAACUUGUACUAAGCAUGAUCAAAAUGAGAACCACUUGGAUAUCAACUUACUCAUCAGUGGUCUUUUUGAUACUGUAGUGGUGUGAGUGGUCUUUUGACCUACGAUGUCAUCGACUAUUCGCAACAAGGCUACUGAGUUUGACUGUAUAUUUUUUUGAUCCC
rnacentral:lncRNA from 1 species